CAUCAGUGUGGUUCGCAGGUGUUUGGAAAGUCUUCAGAAGCCUGUAUAGCAGAGGUCCCCGACCUAUGGAUUUAUAAAUUGAUAGACUACUACCACUGAAGGCAAGUUAAGAGAUGGUGGUGUCCUUCCAAGUCAUCUUUUUUAAGCUGUUGAGAAAUAAUUGAAGAUGUGAAGCAUCUGCUGCUUCGGUUCCCAGGCAGACCGAAUUUGUUGACGGCAACAUCACCGGAGAAACACAGACAUUUCUACUUGAAAGAUGGUCCAACGUUAAUGAGUCUUUAGGCAACUCUCUACGUGGAAAUAUGAUCUCUCCGAAAUAUAUGCUCACCCAGAGAGUGGAAGCCAAAGAGAAGCUGACCGCUUUAGGUGACGUUGCAAUCACGUCUGCAGGUUGACUCCGUGAAAGCUGCCGACCGACCGACCGACCGACCGACCGGGGAGAAAUGCAGCCUGUCUCUCCAAAAGCCGGGGUUGGAGGGACGAAGCCAGGUGAGUGAGUGUGCCUUUCAUCAGGCGUGUGCGUUUUCUCAGUGCUGGUUGCUCGGUUUUUCCUGGACUCCCGUGAAAUUUCUUUAUGCCAUUAAAUUCCAUUUGUGUGCUGGGAGCUAGGUUGACAGGGUUUGCUCUCCUCGCAACCAAAGGAAUUCUCACGGAUCAUUUUCACGCGUUCUCAGCAAGGCAGAAGUAUCCCAUUCCAGGACGGUUGGAUGAUGGACCUCAGUGAGUGAAUUAGACAAAACUCAAACCAUUCACUGGGCCCUGGGUCUUUUCAUUAUAUGCUAAGUAUCCCGGGCACUGUGUAAACAAAGAAUCGCAAGCAACUAGCAAGGGUACGUUGGGCGAUGAUGGAUGCAUGGCAGGCUAAGGAUGUGGGUGUUUUUGCUUGUAGCUGAACAACACAUUUAAUCCUGUUUGUGGUUUUUAAUAGUUGAGAAUAUGUUUCAAGGAAUGACUGAUUCCACCCAAAAGUGUUUAUUCAGGGAAAAUUCUGCAAUACAUUCAAACCUAGCCAACUGAUUAAAAGUCAACCCGUAUAACUCCAGGCUGCCUUGUUUUGUGAUUUUCUGCACGGUGGUGUAUGGCAAAGCGUGCGGUGACUACAAGGCAUUUAAUCACCAAAUUGUUUUUGGAGUUUUCUGUUGUACAGUUAACAGAAACUGGAAAAAUGGAAAGCCUUUCUGGUUUGUUUUUUGGGGGUUUUGUUUUGGUUUGGUUUUUUUCCUUUUUAGCUCAACUAAAUUUGAAGCAAUGAGAUGAGGCGCUGAAACUCUGUUGGCUGCUUUUGUAAGCGUCUAACUUCUGGGGAUGGCUAGAUGCCUCCACGCUGCGUUGAAACAGAUGUCUGGGACUAUGAACUGGAUAUUACGCAGGGAACGUGAAAGAGAACACAAAAUUGAACAAACCUUUUAUUUGACUCUUGGGCUCUCCUCUCAUCUGCGAAAACAUGAUAAACAUGGCCCAACAUCACUACAGUGUUAUCGGGAAAAUUAGGCGACAUAAUUGAGCAAUGGUUUUGUAAAUUCUGAGAUGUAAAACAAAUGCUACUCUACAUGAUUUUAAGUACUGAUUCUCGCUGUCCCCUAUGGUGAUUCAGAUAAGCUUCAAAAGCAAUUAAUUACAUACAAAUUGGCAUUAUUGCCUCUCAAAAUAUUUUGAAGAACCAUUUCAGGGCCACAGUUUUGAAGACCAGAACCCAAGCACUCAGGAAUGCGGGUGUUUAUCUUAGCACAGGGCUGACUGCCCGUCCAACAAGCAUCAGUCAACAGUGAAAUAGUGUUUUCCUAGUGUCCUUCCCCUUCCGUUGCCAUAGUAAAGAGCACCACGGCACAAUCCCCAUCUGUGGUCUCACUACUUGGUUUCAAGCAGUCCUCCUCUGUCGGAUAUUACUCAUGCAGACGGAUUAUAAUGUGAGACUCUCUUACCCAUGAGUAGCACACAACCUGACAACCACAAUUCUAUUACCAAAACCAAAGGGAGCAAUUCUCAAAUGUUGCCUGCUUUCACUCCGGUCCACAAACUAGACCCCUUUGCAAAUUUAUAUGAUUGAUCGAUCCGCUGGGUGAAAUGAACUAACUCCACCUGGCUUACGGGUGGUUUAAAGUAACUUGCCAAAACCGUGUCCGCUUACGUUAUUUUUAACUGCAUCUUCUGGGUGGCUUUUGUGUUUUCAUGCUGGCUUAUUAAGCAGAAUUCAUAUUCAUGUCUCCUUUUAAAAGUAACUGAUAAGAAUAAAUGUAGUACAGAGCUGGAGUUUGGCUCAGUGCUUGGGUCUACAUUAGCUUGUAUUAUGCAUGAGCUUGGGAGCAGACUUGAGAACAAACUCUUAGCCUGGAUAAAAAUGUAAAUGUUGGAAAGACAGACAUGGUUUGGUAACAGCUGCUUUUAAAUAAAAUAAAUUUAUUAUCCCCCAUGAGUCUAUAUUUACUAAUUGUAUUGCUUUGUAUUUGUUCUGUACUUAUUACAAGCUAUAAAUCUGUUUAUCAUUUGAUGUUAUCAUACCCAUGUCAAACACUUUAACAAUUGCAUAAUAUACUAUCUUAUUUUUUUACUUACACAUGUUUCAGUU